GACGAACGCUGGCGGCGUGCCUAAUGCAUGCAAGUCGCACGCAGGUGCCUUCGGGUGCCUGAGUGGCGCACGGCUGAGGACCACGUGGGAACAUGCCUCCUUGUGGGGGACAACACCGCGAAAGCGGUGCUAAUCCCGCAUACGCUCUUGCUACAAGAGGAAAGCGUGCAAACGCGCAGGGAGAGUGGCCCGCGGCCCAUCAGGUCGUCGGUGGGGAACGGCCUACCGAGCCAAUGACGGGUAGCUGGUCUGUGAGGACAGACAGCCAGACUGGGACUGAGACACGGCCCA
rnacentral:rRNA from 1 species